UUUGAAGGAAAUAUAUUAAUGAAAUCUACUGUUCUGCUAAGUUUACUUUGAAUAGCGAUUGUAUCCAAGUUUAAAUUAAAAAUGACGAGUUACUUUCUCAAUAUUUUCUGUUUGAUCAAGUUCGCACCUAAAGUAUAGGCCUCCACCUACAUAAUUUGCCAAAUCAAGUAGAAGAUCAUGCAUGACAAAUACUUCUUUAUUUUUAUCUGAUUGUUGGAAGACAGACCUUGAUAGUACAUCAUUGAAGUGUUGCAUGUCAAAUACUUUUUUAUUUUCAUCUAAUGGUUGGAAGAAGGACCUUGAUAGUAGAUCAUUGAAGUACUGUUGGCAAACUUCUUCUGGAGUCCUACUAUGUUGAUGACACUGGGUGAAAUUUUCAGUCAUCCACAACUGAAUUAAACUCUCCUUUUUAAACUCAUAAUCCUUGGGGAAUAGGGCACAAUAAGCAAAGCAUACCUUCAGAUGGGAUGGAAGGUGGAUAUAACUCAAAGCUAAAGAAGGAAUAAUACCGCAACACUCAUUUGAAAAUUCCCAUAUUUCGCUUUGGAACACAGUUUUCCAUUCUAAAAUAGAUGAUUUGUUGUAUAAUAGACUUCCCAUUGUUUUCAAGGCAAGAGGUAGUCCUUUACAUUUUUUAACAAUCUUCAUGCCAAUCUUCCUGCACUUUGGAUCUAGUUGAGUAUCAUCAUCUUGGAAUGCAUGUUUAGCAAACAACUUCCAACAAUCAUCUUCCUGUAAUUGCUUUAGGGAGUGGUCUUUUGACCGCAUUGUGGAAGCAACUUCCUUACUACGUGUAGUCACAAGAAUCCUACUCCCUUGGACUCCUAGAACAAGGGGCUUCUGCACUUCUUCCCACUUAGUUUUGUUUUCAUUCCAAACAUCAUCCAAAACAAUAAGAAAUUUCUUCCCCGUCAAUUUUUCUCCCAAUCUUCUGUGAACCAUCUCCAUGUCUCUACUAUCAUCCGUUGAUUUAGUAACUGCCUCAAGAAUUGCUCUUGAUAUCUUGAAAACAUCAAAUUCAUCUGAAACAAAUUCCCAGGCUUUGACGACAAAUUUAGCCUCAUCCACCUUUGGGUCAUUGAAUACAUGUUGAGCAAGAGUGGUCUUACCCACUCCGCCCAUUCCCACGACAGAGAGUAUUGAUGGCUGGUUACUAUUGUUUUUGUUAGAUGUCAUCCAGUCAAAGACCAGUUCUUUAUCAUCAUCUCUGCCAUAAAUAUCAGUUCCAACAACCAAAGAUGUUGUUUGUGGUUUCUGUGGCAGUUCUUUUGAUAUUCUUUUACCUCCUUUUACCCUUUGCAUUCUUCUUUUGAUUAAACAAUUUUUUAAUUUCCAUACACUCUUAAUCAUGAAUAAAAAUUAAAAAUGUUCUUAUUAUAUAAUUAUGACAAUUAAUAAAAAAAAUUAUUUUAUGCGUACUUUAUUGUAGUGUUAAAAGGAAAGCAUUUGCACUGAGGGCGAAACUUUGCACUAUUGUAGUGUUAAAAGGAAAAGGAAUGAAUUGUUAAAAGUAUAGCAGGAAUAGCAGCAAAAGAUGAAGAGGAAAGUAGUUGAUACACAUUCUUAACAAAAACAAAAUAAGUACUCCAACAAAUGCAUCAUUGUUCAAAACAAACAACAUCAUUACCAUAUAUACAAAUUUGUAAUGUGCACAAUCUUUUCCCAGUCUUCGCCUUCUUCUCUCACGCAACGCGGUAGCAGUAAAGGACAACCACCAAUAUGAAGAGUUGAAAUUGAUUUGGGAAGACCCUCCUCCGGUAAGCAUUGGAGAUUGGGGCACUUGUUAAGAUUCAACUUCUGAAGGGAUGAGAGUUGAUGGAGACCCUUGUAGUCCAAUUUUUCUAGAUUUGGACAAUCAUAGAUGAUUAGAGAAGUAAGAGAGGGUGGAAGCAAACCUUCAUCUGGAAAACAUUUUGCAUCUACUCCAUGAAUUCUCAAGGUUUUCAAAGAAGGACUGUCUGUGAAAGCUCCUUUCAGUGAGCCAACAAGUCUAGAGCAAUUUAUGAUUACCAGACUCUCAAGAUUUGAUGGGAAACCUCCGUCAGGGAAUGACUUCAGUACUGAACAACCUUGUAUCCAUAACGUCCUCAGAGAUGGAAGCAACAUAUGCAUGCUUCCAGGCAAUGAUUCUAAUUUAUGACAAUACUUGAGUGUUAGGUGUUCUAGAUGAAUAUGGAUGAGACUCUGUGAAAUCAUCUCUAGAUUAUCAAACCCGCUGAGAUCAAGCUUCCUGAGCUUUGGGAAUAAAUCUAGUGGAAAGCUUUGUAAAGAGACACCAUCAUCAUAGAGAGAAUCAAUCUGCAAGUUCUCAAGAGUGUCAGACGAUCCAACAAUUUCCAGCAAUGAUGUUUCCAUUGUGAGGCUUUUCAUUGUACCCCACUCUAACUGCAACUUUCCACAGUCACGUAGUUUUAAUUCUAGAGCCCUAGGAGCGGAUGCCUCAAGUUGUUGGCAGUCUUCAAUUUCUAGUGUUUCCAAAGGAACAACUUUCUCUGGCAGCUGUCCUUUCAGCUUUGGACAAUUUGUUAUGGAAAGCUUUCGUAGACAUGGAAAAGCACCUAUCACAGCUUGGCACUCCCACUCUUCCCAUUGACACAUAUGGGAGAACUCCAAUGUUUCAAGGGAUUUAAAUGAAGAAGAGUUGUUCCCAUGAAAAUCACCAUCAAUACUAACUAUCCCAUCAAGUUUUCUAAUCUCCAAGACCUUCAGAAAUGGCAACAGUCCAAGGGGAGGUAAAAGUUGGCAAUAUUGACAUCCCGUCAACUUUAAGGACACCAUAUUCCAUAGUGAAUUAUCUAGUAACCAAUUUGGAAAUCGUUUCCCACCAUAGCCAAAGAUUGACAACUCCUUUAAGUUUCCAGAAGGUUGCAAAUUCUCAAUUACGUCCUCUUCUUUUUUUGAAUCUAUAGAGUUUUGAUUCCUCUGCCAUUGUAAGGUCAGCGCCACAAGGUGUGUUUUAUUCUUCAAAUCCGCUUCUAAUGCAUCCAGGGAAUUCUCAACAUUCUGCAGCCCCUUAAUUGAUAGACUUCCCUCAAGGUUGAGCUCUCUUAGUUGUUGAAUGUCAUCGUCAACAUUAAAGGAACUCAUUACUACUUUAAGAUUCUUCAUUUUUCCCAAAUACGGUGGCAUCUUUCUCACUUUCGUCAACAUAAGUUCAAGGUGACACAAAUUGGUGAGUAAAUGCAAAUUUGAGGGUAGUUCCUCCAAACAUCUACAAGAGUUCAACUUGAGUAUUAGCAAGUGGGAGAGUAAACAUAUCUUUUCAUUUAGUCUUUUUAUUGCAGUAUGGGAGAGGUCUAAGGAACGGAGAUACUCAAGAUUGCCAAUAGAGUCAGGUAACUCUAACUCUAUAAGGUUAGAAUAACGAGACAUAGAUAAAACACGUAUGAACUUAAACUUGGAGAACAAUUCAUGUAUAGACAUUUUCAUAACCCAACUCCACUGGUAAUAAUGUCGGUUGUUAGCAUUGACACAAAUGUACGUAACCUUUCUGUAUUACAUAAAGUUCCAAACCCAUCAAAAUAUUUUUUGUAUUUAAAUUCAACUGAGAAAUGACGAUAGUAGAUCAUUGAAGUAUUGUUGGCAAACUUCUUCUGGAGUCCUACUAUGUUGACCAUAGUGGGUGAAAUUUUCAGUCAUCCAUAACAAAAUCAAAUCCUCCUUUUUAAACUCAUAAUCCUUGGGGAAUAAGGCACAAUUAGCAUAGCAUAUCUUGAGAUGGGAAGGAAGGUGGAUAUAGCUCAAUGCUAAAGCGGGAAUAAUAUCACAACGCUCUUUUGAAAAUUCCCAUAUUUCACUUUGGAACACAGCUUUCCAUUCUAAAAUAGAUGAUUUGUUAUAUAACAUACUUCCCAUUGUUUUUAAGGCGAGAGGUAGUCCUUUACAUUUUUUAACAAUCUUCAUGCCAAUCUCCCUGCACUCU
rnacentral:lncRNA from 1 species